CAACCCGUUCACCUUUCGUUUCCCGGUUGCGGCAAAAUGUUCGGCAGCCUGGGAAUUCAUCCAUAAACACAGCUUGUCAAUCACUUCUUCAUCAAAAUAAUGACAAAAAGCCUUGUGCGGGCAAGUAAACUGAGCCACAUGAGAGGACAAUGAUGGGUGAGCAUCACCAAACGAUGGUACGGGGUCAGGCCGGGUAUCACUGAAAGGGUCAGACAUGAGGCGCCAGACUUGUUCCUCCACUGGCUCCACAGUGUCUGAAAACUCCUCAUCACUGUCAUCUACUAAGUCACUAUCACCACUUUCUGAGGUAUCAUCACUAUACUCUUCAGUAGAAGCACCUGGCAGAUAUUUAGAGCCAGACUCGGAACUACUGCUGACCGACAUAGUGGUGAUAACGGUGGUUGCAACGAUUGCAGCGAAUCCAAGAUGGCCAGGCUAGGGACACUGUGAUAUAAUCCUUCUCUUAUGAAGAUUCAAAAAAUCACCCUGCGUCUCAUACCCCGAUGGUUAGGUUUUGGUAUGCCCAGAGGAUAUUGUUACUGGUACGAAAACAACAUUUAAAACACCUCCGUUUGACACAACAGUUCCCUGUGGUUAUAAAUAGAUACUUCAAGUAGGCUAAUUGGUAGUUUAGGCUCAACUGUUUGGUCGUUCGAGACAGAUGGAUUCAGCAAAGCGGAGCAGUUGGCGAAGCAAUUGAAAUGACGAGGGAGCCAAUUUCGGCAACGCUCGCAUAGUCAGCUGUUGGCGUGGGACGGGAUGGGAGGUGUGCUGGGCGUCGAUGGAGUCUACGUGGUGACUUGGGGUCGUGGCAGUGGAUUGGUUGGCUCUCGGCGAUGGUGUGAUGGUUUUGCUGUUUGGGCUGUUGGCUGCGUUGUUGUGUUCCCUGUCUAGUCCUGGAGGUUGGCCGGUUCACUGUGGGGUUGCCGAGCGCCUGGUUAAUACUGGUUGGUUGUUUUCCAUUCGUACUGACUCGCUCUGUGUCAUCAAAGGUGACCGCCCUUACGGAGGUGAGUUACACGUUGUGUUUUUCUUUGUUGUAGUUUAUGUGACCACAUUCCCAGAUGUCCCCAGAAUGAAAUAUACCGUAUUUUGCGGAGUGUAACAUGCACUUUUUUCACUCAGAAUAUGCCAAAAAACAAAUAACUGAACCAUCCAAGUGUAAAAAAAGUACCAAGGAGGUCCUAAAAAGCACUGCAAAGCAGAACAGGUCACAAGAAAAAGAAGAGUGAUUGUUGAUAUCCUAGUUAUAUAUAUACGUACGUCAUCAUUUGCUUUCUUAAUAAUAUAAGUAAACUUGGGUGGGACAGAUCCUGACAAGCAGUUGACAAAAGACACGGUACCGUGUUGAAAUUCAUAUAUGUAUUCAGGAUGGGAUGUCUCACGAUCUUGGGAUGUCUCAUGACACCACACCGGUAGGCUUUCUUCUGGGGCCAGAUGGUCGGCCCCAAGCCCGUCAUGGCGCAGGCAAUUUUUAUAGUGGCGCCAGUUAUGCUUGGCUCAUGCUGCUCCCCGGAACUCAUUCUUAAUUCACUGGACGGUUUCUUCUAAAGUCCGGGUGUAUGGGUGGUCUUCUGGACAGCAUGUGUGUAGUCUUAGGCCACUCGGCGGCGACUGAAAAAUCCCAGGUUGCAGCGUGGGUAUUCGAACCAACGUUGUCCAUGGCGUGGUGAAUGUGAGCCCAGCACACUAACCACUCAGCCACCGCCUACCCGACUAUGAAAUGUAUAACUGUUCUUUCUUUAUAUGUGUAUGUGGUAAUGAAUAUGCUUUCUCUGAUGUUUGCAUUUUUCAUUUGUUUGAGGCAAAACAGUAUCAAGUGAGACAGAAGUUGAAUAUUUAACUAAAUAACCAGGAGCACACGCCCAACGGUGCAUCAGUUCACUCACUCGCUGCCUCCACCCGAGCUAGUAGUAAUAUUUUGACAUUUUUUCAGUGAAAGUUUUUGGUAAGUUCAAGAAUAGAUAUAACAUGGGCACAGGGAGAAAUAUAACGUGUGAUUUUUUGUAGAUGAAAGGAUCUGGUAUCUCUUAUGAGCUGCCUCACUAUCUUUGAUAGCAUAUAAAGAAGCAAGAAUGAACCACGUGAGCAUGAGAAGUAAAAAAAUAACAUGGUAUAUUUGCCUCCAUCCCAGAGACAAUCACCUCUUUAAUGGACUAGGAACACACAGAGAAGCCUAUGGCCUGAAAACAGUUAUCAUUUCAUGGUAUAUCUGGGACACCUGAAAAGUACAUCCUCAGGUUUUCCUACCAAGCUGAAGCAUAAUGCAUACCAGAGGAACUGUUUCCAGAGGAUCCAGAGGCUGUACAAGAGAGAAAUGUCAGAAUACUCUAGAACCAGCAUGAGCCAAGUAGGAAUGGCACCACUAUAAAACAAAUACUUGCCAGCACCAUUAACAAGCUGGGGCCAACCACUAGAUCCACUCAAGAAAACCUAACAACACUAUGGGCUGCACAUAAAAAAGCAGCCUCAAUCAAAACCUGUGUAUUAAAGCAAAAAUCCAUGGAUGUUACUUAAGUUAUCCCUUUCAUGGCUAAACACUCGAAGCGAGCGUUAGGCGUAUUUACUGGUGGUGCUAAACGCUCGCUGCGAGCUCCAUCCGCACUCAAAUCUCCCGCGUAUGAGAGUGUUCCAACACUAUUUCUCACAACACAGGAUUGCCAAUUGAGUGGGUUUUUCACUAAAUUUGGUGGAAAAUCAUGUCAGCCCAGCGCGGAAAAUCUACAGACGAGCAACUGGUGGAUGUUGUUGUGCAAUAUAGCGACAUUUUUGCAAGCUGCACCUAUCACAUGACUGAUAUUUUGACCAAAUAGUUGUAAAUUUUGCAAUUGGCAAUACCGCCCUGCCAGCACCCCAUCAUCAAGAGAUCUACAGUAGUUGCCUUACGGCUGACCAUCGCGCACGUAUAAAUGUACAUCUUCACAGGCAACACCCCCUGAACAUGCCUGUACUUUCGCAGGAGAGGCUUACAUAACCGAAUCUUAUACAGCACCCUCUCAAGUUUCGCGAUCCUCGAGUUUAGCGCUUAGUCCUAAAUUCUUACCAUCAUUGGGUAGGCGGUGGCCGAACUGGUAGCGUACUGGGCCCACAUUCACCGUGUGAUGGAUGACGCGGGUUCGAAUCCCCACACUACUACUCGGAUUUUCCAGUCACCGCCGAGUGGCUUAAAACUACCCACAUGCUGUCCUGAAGACCACCCAUCAACCCGGACUCUAGAGGAAGCCGUCCAAGCGAAUCAAGAACGAGUUCCGGGGGGCAGCAUGAGCCAAUGCAAGAUGGCGCCACUAUAAACACUCGCCUGCGCCAGAACGGGCUGGGCCGACCAUCAGGACCCACCUGGAAGAAGCCUUGGGCCGACCAUCAGGCCCCACCAGGAAGAUGCCUACCGGCGCAACAGGCAACGACGUAAAAAAAAAAAAAAAAAAAAAUCACGAGUUUCGUGCAUUACCGCCACAAGUUUCGCGUUGCUUUGACAUGUACGGGUCACGUCUACCUACCGUCGGCGUCAUGCGUGCUGCCUUAAAAGGCGGUGUCCAACCAGGAGCAAGUUGUUGGUUGUCCUUAUGGAUGGAAAACGAUGUUGAGUACGAGCGUGGGUACGUAUGUACCAAGGAGACUAUAGAACAGGAGAGGGGGCCUCUAUGGGAGACCGUGGGCGGGUGGUGGUGUAUGUCGGUUGCAACAGAUGGCGCAGGAGCAGCUUUGUUUACAUCCAGGCGCCUCCCCCCCCUCUAGACCGACCCCCAACCCCCAGUACCCAUCAGCAGUAUUGCUACAUGGGAUCAAGCAGCAAAUGUUGCUACUUUUUUUUCUUAAGUCCAGUUAUUUCCCAUUUUAAAUAAAAAAUAAAGGUAGAUAAAUAUUAAAAUGAACAGUAGGAACUAUAUAUAUAUUUACUAGGUAGAUAUAGCCUGACUGCAUGUCAUGAGUAAUGCUAUUAUUGUUAUAUUAUUAUACCGCAAUUAUAUUACUUUCUCUGCAUGUGUGGGAGGCUACCAGUGGUUAGAUGUGUUUUAUGUGUUUAACCUUUCUGUAUACAUACUGGAAUGAAUCAAGGUUGUAGCCCUACUGCUGUUCUUUAAAAACUAUGUGAUCAUGUUUUUCUUCCAAACUCAUUGUUUUAGCACGCACACUGACUUCCAUCAGUAAUGAUUUACAGUGAAUCAUUGGUUUGUAGGGGGAAAGAGUGGGUGAAUAUAAUUAUCUUGGUCUAACUUAUACUGUUUAUUAUACCGCUAUUCGCAGCAAUACCUUUCUCUGCUCCGAUUGCAACGCUGCCUCAUUCAAAAAUCAUAACACCGCCGCGGCCGCCACGUUUACCAGCCGGAGCCUCAAAUCAUGUCCCUUUGUGGUGAUAAAGAGGACACAGCCUGGUGUGAAGCUACAUUUAUUAUGGAAGAAUGCCAGCCGGGGUACGUGAUAUAUAUAUAUAAAUAAUGAUACUGUGGAAAUUCUAAUCAUUUUCAUGCUGACAGCUGUUCUGAACUUGCUAACUGCAUGCCUCCCCUCCUCCCGCGGCAAGAGUGCAGUAUUCUGAGUGUAGGUAGGAACAACCCCUCACAUAACUAUUGCUUAAAUGACACUCUCAUAAGUAGGUCUGGGUGCGAGAGGGAUUUAGGGGUCUUAGUGAGCUCUGAUCUCCGUCCAAGGGCACAAUGCAUUCAAGCUAGAAAUCGAGCUAAUAGGGUACUGGGAUUUAUUUCAAGGAGCGUAAGCAACAGAAGCCCUGAAGUCUUCCUCAAACUAUAUUUAGCAUUAGUUAGACCUCAUCUUGACUAUGCGGUUCAGUUCUGGUCACCCUACUAUAGAAUGGAUAUCAAAAUGUUAGAAUCGGUGCAGAGGAGGAUGACUAAGAUGAUUCAGGGGUUGAGAAACUUGCCAUACGAGGAAAGACUCAAACAGUUAAACUUGCAUUCUCUAGAAAGGCGAAGGGUGCAUGGAGACAUGAUCGAGGUUUAUAAAUGGAUGAAGGGCUUUAAUAAGGGAGACAUUCAUAAGGUUUUGUUGGUAAGAGAACCGGGUAGGACACGAAGUAAUGGGUUUAAACUGGAUAAAUUCAGAUUCAACAGGGACAUAGGCAAAAAUUGGUUUACUAACAGGGUGGUGGAUGAGUGGAAUAGGCUUAGCAGUCAUGUGGUGAGUGCCAAUACAAUUGUCACAUUCAAAAAUAGACUAGAUAAAUUCAUGGACAGCGAUAUUAGGUGGGAUUAGAUACACGGGAGCUUAGGGUCAAAGGAGCUGCCUCGUACAGGCCUACCGGCCUCUUGCAGACUCCUGCGUUCUUAUGUUCUUAUGUAAGAGGCCGAAUGGCCUACACACGACAGCUCCAGAUUCCUCCCCAUUACCACCUGUCAGCCUCAUCCAUGUAGCUAUCCAGUCUACUCUAAAAACAAGCUAUUGUCCCUGCACUCACUAUGUGAUUGCUGAGUCUGUUCCAUUCCCCCACCACCCUACUACUAAACCAAUGCCUGCCCAUUUCCCUCCUAAAUCUAUACUUUUCUAAUUUAAGUCAAUUACUGCAUGUUCUAUCUUGCCAAACAUCUUAUGCAAAAGUUAACCAGCAUCUUCACUCUUUCAUCCCUUACACUGAUAAACUCUGGAACAGCCUUCCAUCGUCUGCAUUUCCUCCUGCCUAUAAUUUGACCUUCAAGAAGAGUGUAUCAAGACUCUACUUUUGUCUGUUUGGGAGUGGUGAGUAGUGGGGCUUUUUUUUCUAGUAUGCUUUGUUGCCCUUCAGCUGUCUCCUUUGUUUAAAGAAAAUAACAAUUAAAUAAAUAGAGGUUGGCCGCCAAUGCUUCCAACGCAUUUUUGUGCCAUAUCUACAAGUGGCUGGUGACUGUAAGUAUCUCAGCAACCUGCAUGCAUUUAUGCCAUUCCUAUCACGGUGCAUGGAGCAAGCUUCACAUAACACUCAGACAGAGACAGUUUAAUUAUGGUUACAUAUCAGACUCAGUUUAUUGCUCAGUCUAUUAGGUGCAGUGCUGUUAAUAUUGUUAGUGGUAGUAUUAGUACAAUUAAUGUAUUUAUUUUCAUUAAUUUAUCAAUAUUUAUUUAUUAUAUUCUUAGUGUUUGAAAAUUCCAAUACUAGUAUUAAGAUAAAAAAAAAUAUCAAAAAUAUAUUUACUCAUUAAUUAUUAUUGCUUUUCUUAUUAUUACUUCCUUCAAUGUCCUGGCACUUUGACAUCUAGUGCUUUUCCGUCUAGCAGCCAAAAUUGUGGUCUUUCUGAAUGUGUAUGUCCUAAGUCUUCAUUGGUGUAACUAGCUAUAUAACAUACAAAUCUGCAUCUCUCUCCCUUCUCACCCAGUUGUCCCCGCACAUCCUUUCAGUAUCCAAAGAAUUUCAAUUUACAUCUUGUAAUCACUCAACUAAUGCAGUGCAAUCCUCAUCUCUGUAUUUUACUGUGUGGACAUACUCUUCCCUUCCAUGUUCCACUGUUGUAUGAUAUUCCACAUCUAACACAACCACAUCCCAACAGAUCUGAACACGUCCGAUAUCAUCCAAGAGAAUGUGGCAGCUGAAGGGGAGAGUCCAAGAAAGAGGCAAAGGGUGAAGAAAUUUAGCCACCCCCUGAAGUACAUGGCACCAUCCAACCCUCUUGGUUAGCUGCAGGACUGUGCUUCCCAUUGCAGUGCACCAGCUCCAUGUACUGAUUUUGGGUGUGAACUUGAUGGGGUUGGAGGAAACUCGACUCGGCCAUCAAGCUCACCACAAUAUAACAUGAAAAGUGAAAAUUGCUGCACACAACAGUCUGCCGUCUGCGCCGGGAGGCAAGGCAGCUCAAAGCCCAGGCUGUUACAACUCCUGGGCAGUUUUAGCCCAGAGCCAGCAAUUUUUUAGAUCCAAUAGGGAUGGAUUUUUUCUGAGGUCAGGUUUAACAUGCUGCAAGAUGCCAAGAUCUAAGCCUAGUAGGAGAUAUGGGUUACAAGAGAGGAGGUUUGCUCUGGCCUUAUACUAUCAAAGUCCAAAUGCUACUAGAUUUCUAAGCACAGUAUUCCACUUGCCUUCAGUUUCAACACUUCACUCAUGACUCAGGGGUAUUUCAGUAAAUGUUGGCUGGAGCAAACAGACUGUGACAGCCCUGCAGCAAAGAGCUCAGGCUUUGUCAAAAGAAGAGAAACUUCGUGGGAUUUGCCAUUAUUUAGUAUUAUUCUUGUUACGCCAAGAAUUUUUUUCCAUAUACUUUGACAAAUAUUGCAAGUAAUGCACCAUUGUUGGGCUUGCCUGUUAUAAAUCAAAUCUUGUUCAAUUAACAAGCUUUGGGUGUCUGCCACUUUCCAGUUGUAAUGCAAGGAAUCAUUUAUCUCCCCUGCUAGAUAUCACAUGUAAUGCACCAUUGUUGGUUUUGCCUGUUGUAAAUCAGAUCUUGUUCAGUUAACAAGCUUUAGGUGUCUGCCACUUUCCAAUUGUAAUGCAAGGAAUCCCCUGCCAGAUAUCGCAUGUAAUGCACCAUUGUUGGUUUUGCUUGUUAUAAAUCAGAUCUUGUUCAGCUCACAAGUUUUGAAUAUCUGCCAUUGUUUAUUUCAGGUGUAAUGCUUGGAAGCAUUUGUUCUCUUCCCUACCCAACAGUAUGCAAUGCUUUAUUGUGGAUUUUGCCUGUUAUAUUUAAUCUUGUUCAGGUAACAAGCUUUUGGUGUCUGCCUUACCUAACAUGUGCUGCAGUGACACUUGGCUUGGUUUCAUAAUGUGAAAUACAGCAUGUAAUUUCAUCACACUAAGUGUCUAUCAUCACGUGUCUGGCAUCAUUAAUGUGGCUUCCAGGAGUAAUCUUGUUUGUAUUACAGUAAGCAAUUUUUUGUGCUUUAUAUGAUAUAAAUAAUCACAUAGGUAUGAUUUUUUUUUUUUUUUGACAAAAUGUAAUGGCAGUUGCUAUUCUUGACUAAUGCCUCAUACACCUUGUGAAAAAUAAUGCUUUUUUGAAGGGAGGGGGGGAGGGGGGGACAGAGAGUGGUUUGUUUGGUUGGCCAGUUCAAGGAGUUUCAUAUCAAAUGAUUUUAUUACAUCCAACUUUAAUGUGUGCUAAAAACAUAUAUUUUAUUACAUCCAACUUUAAUGUGUGGUUCCUGCAAUAAAUGCUACAUGUUUACUGAUGUAGCCUAUGAAAUACAUAUCACUCUCUGCCCUGUGAUUUGGUGCCACAUACUGCAGCAUAACUUUCCUGCUAUCUUCUACACUAUGAGUUGCCUUAUUUUGUCUCAUUUGCUUUUAUCAUAUGUGCCUCCACUGCAUAGUUGUGCCUACUGUGCUUAAUAUCUUCAUGACCCUGACACCAAGGUCAGAGCUUGUGAGAUCAUACUGUGUCCUACAUCCCAUUUUCACCUCCAGGCUCGGCUGUCUCCCAGGACCACCAAGUUAUUGCAUUCCAUUUAAGACAACUCAUGUGUUACCUUCUUGAUGUCCUCCAUCAUGUAUUUCAGCAUGUUUUAUGAUGCUUUGCUCUUAUAUUGAUGUGCCUUGCAACAUUUUUAUACAGUUUUCAUUGUAUAUAACACACCAUUGUUGGUUUUGCCUGUUAUAAAUUGGGUCAUGUUCAGUCAACAAGCUUUGAGUGUCUCCCAUUGUUUAUUUCAGUUGUAAUGCUUAGAAGCUUUUGUUCUCUGCCCUGUCAAGCAGUAUGCAAUGCUUGCCAUUAUCUGGCACUUGUACAGUUAGUAUGAUAUUUUUAUUCAGUUAAGAGCAUUUUGCAAAAGGUAAAGGUACGGUUGGGGGCAUACGCUGUAGCAGCGCGUGGCCUUGGUGCUCAUCUCUGUAACAUUGGCCCUUGAGCCUGUGGUGUUAGGGAACCCAUUACCCUGGGACACAGGACCAGUGUGACAUCCGGGUUACCACAGUUGCAAAGGCAUUAUAGUAAUCUAGCAUGCAUAGAAUGUUGUAUGCUUUGCUUGUAUUUAAAGCACUGGAUAUGUUUGCUACACUCACACACACAC